rnacentral:tRNA from 1 species
GUAGCUGUGGCUGAGCUGUAAAGCGCCUGGCUUCCAUACAGAGGGUUCUGGGUUCAAAUCCUGGUGAAGACU